CCUACGGGGGGCACCAGUGGGGAAUAUUGGACAAUGGGCGCAAGCCUGAUCCAGCCAUGCCGCGUGUGUGAAGAAGGCCUUUUGGUUGUAAAGCACUUUAAGCGAGGAGGAGGCUACUUGGAUUAAUACUCUAGGAUAGUGGACGUUACUCGCAGAAUAAGCACCGGCUAACUCUGUGCCAGCAGCCGCGGCAAUACAGAGGGUGCGAGCGUUAAUCGGAUUUACUGGGCGUAAAGCGUGCGUAGGCGGCUUUUUAAGUCGGAUGUGAAAUCCCUGAGCUUAACUUAGGAAUUGCAUUCGAUACUGGGAAGCUAGAGUAUGGGAGAGGAUGGUAGAAUUCCAGGAGUAGCGGUGAAAUGCGUAGAGAUCUGGAGGAAUACCGAUGGCGAAGGCAGCCAUCUGGCCUAAUACUGACGCUGAGGUACGAAAGCAUGGGGAGCAAACAGGAUUAGAUACCCCAGUAGUC
rnacentral:rRNA from 1 species